UACUUAGAAAAACGCACUCUUCAAUUGUUGAUCACAGCUCAAAUUUUUUUGCGAACCAACUUUACAUAACAACCUAAUAAUAUCGUUAAUCGUGAACAGAUCUAAUUUCUGUAGCUCAAGUAUCCGAAUUUCAUAAAAAUCAAACAGAGCAUAAAUGAAACAGAUUGCGAAAAACUCGAACAAUCACGGAAACACAAUAAGAUUGUAAGAGUUGGUAUUACCAGAAAUUGAACAUCGUUUCAAGAUAUCGCCGACCAAAUCAAAGGAGAAUUGACUUUCGUAUUGAGCAAAACUCGAAUCUUUCUACUUCCUUCUUCCUUAGCAGAUCGGCAAAAAUAUUAACAACUUAAAUCCCGAAACCAGAGACCUCCGUGUUUAAGAGAGUUUCAACGAAAAUUCCAAUUCUUCGAUCUUUUCUCUUUCAUUUCAG
rnacentral:lncRNA from 1 species